GGAAGUAGUUCAGUGGUAGAAUACAACCUUGCCAAGGUUGGGGUCGCGGGUUCGAAUCGUCCA
rnacentral:tRNA from 1 species